AACGGCGAGUGAAGCGGGAAGAGCUCAAAUUUGAAAUCUUCAAGGUUCUACCUUGACGAAUUGUAGUUUAAAGAAGUGUUUUCUGUUGGAGUUUUGGUAAAAGUUCUUUGGAAUAGGACAUCAUAGAGGGUGAGAAUCCCGUAUUUGACCAUUAUUUCCAGCUUUGUGAUACACUUUCAAAGAGUCGGAUUGUUUGGGAAUGCAGUCCAAAAUGGGUGGUAAAUUUCAUCUAAAGCUAAAUAUUGGCGAGAGACCGAUAGCGAACAAGUACCGUGAGGGAAAGAUGAAAAGAACUUUGAAAAGAGAGUUAAACAGUACGUGAAAUUGUCAAAAGGGAAGCGUUUGACACCAGUGUUGUUUUCUCGAAAAUCAAUUAAAAAAGACUGGAUUUUGUGUUGUAUUGACUUUAUCAGCUUUCUGCACUCUUUUCUUGUCUUUUUUAAUGCACUUUUCGUUUAACAAGUCAACAUCAAUUUCUUUUGUUGUAAAAGGGUCAUUGGAAGGUGGCUUUCUUUUCGGAGAAAGUGUUUAUAGCCUUUGGCCUCUGCAAUCGGAGAGAUUGAGGUCUGCAGCGUAGAUCCUUCGGGGUUAGAUACAUUUGUGCUAAGUUAUAGCCUUUCAUAGACAACUUGUUGACUAUGAUCAGUCAUGUAGCUUACUCGCUUAUGCUAUUUACCUAC
rnacentral:rRNA from 1 species